rnacentral:rRNA from 1 species
GACGAACGCUGGCGGCGUGCUUAACACAUGCAAGUCGAGCGGUAAGGCCCUUUCGGGGGUACACGAGCGGCGAACGGGUGAGUAACACGUGGGUGACCUGCCUUUAGUCUCUGGGAGUAAGCCUGGGAAACCGGGGUACCGUAAUACCGGAUAUGACUCCGCGGCGCAUGUUGUGGGGUGGAAAGCCUUGUGCGGCUGGAGAUGGGCCCGCGGCCUAUCAGCUUGUUGGUGGGGUGAUGGCCUACCAAGGCGACGA